rnacentral:rRNA from 1 species
AACGCGAAGAACCUUACCUGGGCUUGACAUGCAGCUGCAAGGCGUAGGAAAGUGCGCCGCCUUCGAGGGUGCUGCACAGGUGCUGCAUGGCUGUCGUCAGUUCGUGCCGUGAGGUGUUUGGUUAAGUCCACCAACGAACGCAACCCCUUAUCCGUGUUGCCAUCGGCUCGGCCGGGAACUCGCGGAUGACUGCCAGUUCACACUGGAGGAAGGUGGGGAUGACGUCAAGUCAGUAUGGCCCUUACGCCCAGGGCUGCACACGUGCUACAAUGGCAUAUACAGAGCGACGCAAGGCCGCAAGGCGGAGCAAAUCGCACAGAGUAUGCCCCAGUUCAGAUCGGGGUCUGCAACCCGACCCCGUGAAGUCGGAUUUGCUAGUAACGGCGUAUCAGCUACGACGCCGUGAAUGCGUUCCCGGGCCUUGUACACACCGCCCGU